rnacentral:rRNA from 1 species
CAGUAGCCGCGGUAAUACAGAGGGUGCGAGCGUUAAUCGGAUUUACUGGGCGUAAAGCGUGCGUAGGCGGCUAAUUGAGUCGGAUGUGAAAUCCCAGAGCUUAACUUGGGAAUUGCAUUCGAUACUGGUUAGCUAGAGUGUGGGAGAGGAUGGUAGAAUUCCAGGUGUAGCGGUGAAAUGCGUAGAGAUCUGGAGGAAUACCGAUGGCGAAGGCAGCCAUCUGGCCUAACACUGACGCUGAGGUACGAAAGCAUGGGGAGCAAACAGGAUUAGAGACCCGCGUAGUCCCUGUCUCUUAUAC